rnacentral:lncRNA from 12 species
UUCUAAAAAUUUUUUUAGAGAUUUUUUGGCUUUUUUUUUAAAUUUUAGAAGAAUUUUUAGGAGAUUUUUUCAAAUCCUUUAGGAGGAUUUUUGGGAAUUUUUAAAGGAACUUUCUGGAAUUUUUAAGGGAAUUUUUGGGACUUUUUUGCUAUUUUCAGGGUAUAUUUUUGGGUAAUUUCUGGAUAUUUUUGUGCCAUUUUUAGGAAUUUUUUUUCCUUACCUUAUUGUAUUUUUUUUGCCAUUUUUAGUCAUUUUUGUGGCAUUUUUGGCUUUUUUCAUGGUGUUUUUUUGCUAAUUUUUUUAAUAUAUUUUGGAUUUUUUUUUAUUAUUUUCUGGAUAUUUUUGGGUGUUUUUCUGCCAUUUUUGGGAUUUUUUGGGGGAUUUUUUUUCCUUACCUUCUUUGUGUUUUUGUGCCAUUUUUUUAGUCAUUUUUGUGGAGUUUUCAGUCAUUUUUUCUGCUUUUUGGUGCCUAUUUUUUGCUAUUUUCAUGGCAUUUUAUUUUUUAAUUUUUUGAUACUUUUUGGAUAUUUUUGCAAUCUUUUUGAGAUUUUUUUCCUUCCUUAUUGUAGAAACAGGAACAGCUGA